rnacentral:lncRNA from 10 species
UCGGGGGAGGGUAUAAGGGAGCCCAGGGACACUGGGGCACCAGCUCGUUAACACGUGUGUAUGAAUGCCGGCUGUGCGCUUGGCAAAUCCUUAAUUACACAGGGAGAACUUCCUGAACCGGGAACUCAGUAUCGGUCCCUGAAAGGUUGGGUAAUGGCUUCUUCUUGCAUCUGGAAUCCAAGGGGACCAAUCUCUCUGGCUCCCCUGGGCUCUCAGAUUCUUCUAGAUGUCUUUGUCUUCUAAAAUUCUGGGAUCCCAAGGGAAGACACAUAGUUAAGGACACUCAGAAAUGCAUACCUUUCAACCCUACUAAUCAUCCUAAAACCUGUGCUUUCAACAUAUCACGUCCUUGAUCUGUAACCCUCAGGGGCACCCACGAUCUCCAAUGACUGGGAGUGAUGGCAUUUAAGUCUUUCCACCAUGCAGAAGUUUCUUCCCUCAUUCCCCAUGAAUUCUCUCCUGUAGCCAGCCUGGCCCCUCAUAACCCCUUGGAUAUACUGUAUCUUGAAUUCUCCAGCCUUUCUGCAGUUGCCUUCCUGGGACAUUCAUUCCCAUGUUCACAAUCUAGCCAAUUGUAUCCCUUCUCUAUUCAGUUCUAGCAUCAGUCAGUCAAUCAACAAGCAUUUAUUGAAAGUCCACUAUGUACAAGACAUGUUCUAGGCCCUGGUAAUACAUCAGAGACUGAGACAAAUACCUGUUCUUAAGGAUUUUAUAUUUUAAUGGGAGAAACAGAGUAGACUCAUGGCUCACGCCUAUAAUCCCAGGACUUUGGGAGGCCAAGGCAAGAGGAUCACUUGAGGCCAGGAGCUCAAAACCAGCCUGGGCAGCAAGUGUCUUCUUUUGCCUCUGCAAAAGAAAAUUAAAAAUAACAAAAAAAGGAAGCUAAACUAGAGUAUUGUGGUAGAGGGGUGUGUGUGUGUGCAUGUGGGUGCAUCCGUGUGUGUGGUAGGUUGAUGGGUGCUGUUUUAUUUAGCCAGGGAAGGUCUCUUUGAGGAGGUGGCAUUCGAGACCUUCUGGGUGGGAAGGAGGCAGCCAUGUGGUGAUCUGGGGAAGAGUGCUGCAAGCAGAAAGGCAAGUAAAAACAAAAGCCCUGAGGCAGAAAUGUGCUCCUUAUGCUUAAGAAACACCGUGAAGGCCAACGUGGUUGGAGCAAUGUGAGCAAGAAGAAUAGAGGGGCCUUGGGAACAUAGGUAGCUGAGUCCUCAUGGAUCAAGCCAGCAGGUUCUCUUCAACACCCCAGCCCUGGAGAGCCGCAGAUUGGACAACGGGCAGACUUUGUUGAACAGAUGAACAACUGUGGCUAAAUCUGUUUUGGAAAAAAAAAAAAAAAAGACCUGAAGCAAUUGAUAAACAAGAGGCUGAGGUCAGUGUGAAGGAAGAAUAAAUGAGGCCAGAUUGGAGAACGUUGAAAAGUGAUGUCUGCUGGGACAAUGGCGCACAAGCAGAGGAGAUAUUCAUCAGCUGUACAUCUGCUGUUCCUUGCUGCCCCACAAGCCCAGAAUUCUGGUUGUCUUACAAUGUUCGGAGGUUCAGUGACAUGUGUGUUUCAUCUUUGAUUGGUAAGUGGGGGUGCUGACAGCCCUGAGAGGUCACAUUUUCCAUUCAAACCAGAACUUGUUUUGAAUGCAGAAAAAAAGGCAAUGGCAUUCUAAAAAAUGUGAAUGACCAGGGAAAUGGAUCAUAUAUCUUUUCUUACUUGUUAUAUUUCCCUGUAUUAGCUAAUCACAUAUGCUGAACAUGAAGACGUAGAAGAAAUGGGAAAUAUUGGGCAAUGUAUAGUUCUUUUUCCUUUCAGCCAUUCCUUGCUCAUCACUAAGCUGAAGAUAGAGUGUUGGUAGAAUGCUUACAUAUCAAGGAAUAAAAGCAAUUGAGCUGGUUGUGCAGUGUUUCCAAUAUUCUGGUAAGAACAAAAUGCAUAUGCAUGUACAAGCUGAAAUGUGAACUGGAUAAUUUCAGUGAUUCCACUAUAAAGUAAAUGCUCUUAUAUUUGCACUUAAAACUGGUAGUGCACAAUAUAAAAAUGAACAAUAAUAGUCAAGCUAAUAAAUUAAAUUUUCCAUUUUUAAAACUUAGAAUGACGUUAAAUAAAUGAAAAAAACCCACACCACAAGUUCGGAGACACACUACAGAAGAAAGGGAACAUCUUUAUAUUCUAGUACUUUAACAGCCCUUUUUAUUUCCAAGCUCCACAAAUUAUGUAGCUGUCCUGCUUCAAAAUCUGUCAUUCAUGUUGCAUUGUAACUUAUGAAAACCCACGCUUCUUCUUUAAAACUAUUGUCUCUGUUGUGAGUUCUUAAAGUUCAUUUUGAAAACUACAAAUCAAGAAUCGAUUCUUUUCUUUGUUUCUAAAUCUCUGCUGUGCUACCUCUGUACCCCAAGAAAAUGGACAGGAGUAUAGGAAAUGCAGGAAAGCCACAUUGGUUAAUACCUCAAAACACUACCCCCCUAUAUUAAAAACAAAAACAGAACAAAAUCUAGCAGCUAUAAAUUCCUUGAAGGCAGGGACUUUUUUUCUUCCUCCUGGGUUUACCACAGUGUUUUCCUUUUUUCUUGUAAUAAGGACCUAAUAGCUAUUUGUCCCUUUCCUCAACAAGUGUUUGUUCAAUUAAUUUUUUUGUUUUGUUUUGUUUUGUUUUGUUUUUUGAGACGGAGUCUUGCUCUAUAGCCCAGGCUGGAGUGCAGUGGCACAAUCCUGGCUCACUGCAACCUCCACCUCCUGGGUUCAAGCAAUUCUCCUGCCUCAGCUUCCUGUAGCUGGGAUUACAGGCAUCUGCCACCAACCAACCCCUGCUAAUUUUUCUUUUUCUUUUCUUUUUUUUCUUAAGAGACGGAGUCUCGCUCUGUUGCCCAGGCUGAAGUGCAGUGGCAUGAUCUCGGCUCACUGCAAGCUCCGCCUCCUGGGUUCACACCAUUCUCCUGCCUCAGCCUCCCGAGUAGCUGGGACUACAGGCGCCUGCCACCACAGUCGGCUAAUUUGUAUAUUUUUAGUAGAGACGGGGUUUCACCAUGUCAGCCAGGAUGGUCUCGAUCUCCUGACCUCGUGAUCUGCCCGCCUCGGCCUCCCAAAGUGCUGGGAUUACAGUCAUGAGCCACCACGCCCAGUCAUUUUUUUGGUAUUUUUAGUAGAGAUGGGGUUUCACCAUGUUGGCCAGGCUGGUUUCGAACUCCUGACCUCAAGUGAUCCGCCUGCUUCGUGCUCCCAAAGUGCUAGGAUUACAGGCGUGAGCCACUGUGACAGGCCUGUUCAAUUAAAUUUAAAACACUCUUCAUUUUGCUUUUCCAGUUCUCAACCACCACCAGAGGGUCCCUAUUGUCUUAUCCCAUAAAUUGAAACUCUUAACCAGGCAUCUAAUGCUCUAUAAUCUGGACUCAGUCUACUUUUCCAAAUACGUCUCCCAAGGCUCCCUGGAACUCAGUAAGUAAUUACUGAGCAAAGAUGGAAUGACUGAUCAACAGCUCCUAGGAGUUACAGAAACUGCAGCUGGAUAAAUCAUUAGACCUUUUAGGGUCAGGUUUAUGAAACAGAUGCAAGCUAACAUUAAGGCCCCAAUAUUGGGAGCUGGUGGUGAGUGUUACAGACCCUAGGCGAGAAUAGUAAGAAAUGCGAUUCCGAGAACAGUCAUCCCGGCAGGAUCAUAUUCUGGCUUCUGCAAGAUUCAGGGACCCAAAGUUUGCUGGAGAAUUGCCUGCAGCUGCUGCUAGUCCACCAGGAAAGGGUAUGAGCAGCUGGGCCUCACAACAGGGGCCUUCCUGUAGAGCUCCCUACCUGAGCUCAGGCAAGCUCCUACAUAUGAGAGUUUGAGGGCCAUGAAAUCCUAGCCAUUACUAAGGGUCAGAAUUUAGUAUACUGGUAAUAGCCCUUAAGAAAAGCUUCGGGCAGAGACUGGCUUUUAAAGCAGCAUAAUUCAAACAGGCGUUAUUCUGAGCGUACCUUUGUGGGAAACGAUUUUGUUUUUAACAUGCCUACUGGAGGGCUCAUAACCUAACAGGGCUGGGAGAAACUUCAAGAACCAUCUCAUCCAUUCCCCUGUCUUUAGCUAGAAAACCCUUAAAUUUUUUUUCAGAAAACUACCCAUGUAUCCCCAGCCUUUUGGUAACUCCAUUUGUUCAUCAAUCCUGAUUUCAGGGAGCUAUUUCUGAUAUUUAACCUAAUCUUCUUCGGCUCUCUUUUUUCAUCUCAUGCUUCUCAACUCUAAAUGGCCCUCGUGCCUACUGCUUGCUUAUUGACACAAAGUUGAUAUUAUAAUCACUGUUAUUGUUUUAUCCUUAUGGUUAUUAUUAGAACUGACAGCACAUUAAGAGGUGUACAAAGAUACAUAAGUAAAUAUAUGUUUAGAUCAGUAGUCUUACAACUUUGAAAAAUCCAGGACUGUUUGGGUGUUUUUUUUUUAGACGGAGUCUUGCUCUGUUGCCCAGGCUGGAGUGCAGUGGCGUGAUCUCAGCUCACUGCAAGCUCCGUCUCCUGGGUUCAUGCCAUUCUCCUGCCUCAGCCUCCCGAGUAGCUGGGACUACAGGUGCCUGCCACCACGUCCGGCUAAUUUUGUUUUUGUAUUUUUAUUAGAGACGGGGCUUCACCGUGUUAACCAGGAUGGUCUUGAUCUCCUGAUCUCGUGACCAGGUGAUCUGCCUGCCUCAGCCUCCCAAAGUGCUGGGAUUACAGGCCUGAGCCACUGCGCCCAGCCAAUUUUUGUAUUUUUAAUGCAGACAGUGUUUCACCAUGUUGGCAAGGCUGGUCUCAAACUCCUGACCUCAAGUGAUCUGCCCGCCUCGGCCUCCCAAAGUGCUAGGAUUACAGGCGUGAGCCACCGCACCUGAUCUGUUCGUAUGUUUUUAACUUGGAAAUGGGGAUGUGAGCAGAUACGAAUAGCAGAGUAGCAGGAUUGUUUUCUAUAUCUCAGACUGUGGCCCACUCCUCAACAGCCAUCACUCAUCUUGCACCCAGCCUGAGAAGAAAACAUAUAAUCGAUAAAUGUCUUUUAAACAUGCAAAAGGGGAGCAGGAAGGUGAUGGUGGAUGCUAUGAGGGUAGAAACCAUGGGGGCCUGGGGACUGCAUGAAAAUCUGCCUCAACCUCAUGUGAGAACUGGAAGAAAAUAUUUGUCAGAAGUGAAUUGUAACAAUACCUACCCUACCCUUCCCUCAAAGUGUCCCAGCUAAAAGCAGAAAUGAAAAACAAAGAGAUGUACCCUAUAGGAAAGACAUUCAAAGGCCUGGGGCUUACGUGAUCUUGUUCUGUUUACCUUUUUUAAAAAAUUCAUAAAACAUUUAAAAAAAUGUAUCCAUGUUGCAAAAUGUACACUUAGUGCAUUACUUCCAACAGCUGCAUGUUGUUCCAUGGCACCCAUUACCUCGUACUUACCCAUUGUGCUGGUGAUGUAUAUGCUAAGGUUGCCUUCAAUAUCUGGCUAGCUCAAGUGCUGCUGUGAUGAACACCUCAAUUGUGGUCACUUAAGGACCUGUGCAAGAGCUUCUUAGGGGUGCACAUUCCCAGGAGUGGAACUGCUGGGUCAUCGGGAAAAAUACAUUCUACCACAUUCUAUAUUUCAUUAAGUAUUGUUAGUUAAUGCUCCAAAAUGAUUGUACCAGGACUUAACUCCCAAUAACAAAGCAGGAGGAUUCAAAUUUCUUCCUAUCCUAGGCAACACUUGAUAUUACUAAACUUUCACGUUUGCCUAUUUAAUAGAUGUAAAUAAGUAUUUUGGUGUUUUUAUGUACAGUUAUCUGAUUAUAAGUGAGGUUGGAUAUCUCUUCAUCUACUUGUUAGUCUCUCAAGGUUCCCUUCUAUAAAUCUGCCUGUUCAUAUCCUUUGGCUAUUUUUCUAUUGCAUUUCUUUUUUUUCUCAGUUAUUUGUAGGAAUUCUUAAUACUGUAUAUUCUAGAUAUUAAUCUUUUGUUGGCUUCAGCCUUUGAAAAUACUUUCCAAUCUAUCAACUUUCUCUAAACUUGUUUAUGAUGUUUUUUGUUGAACAGAACAGUUUAAAAUUUUGAUGUCAUCAAGUUCAUCUUUUUUUGAUUUUAUAGUUUAUGCUUUGAGUCUUGUUUAAAUGCUUUUCUUCUUUUUUCUACCCUAAGAUUACAAAGCUAUUCUUCUAUUUUUAAUUUCUAUUAGUUUUACCUUUUACUUUUAGGUUUUUUUUUGUUGUUGUUGUUGCUAAUGUAGAGCUCACCUUUGCAUAUGGUAUGAGAUAGGGGUUUAAUUUUAUAUUUUUCUCACAGUGAAUCAAUUUCCCCAACAUUAUCUAUGAAACCAAAUCUCUGUGUUAGAUUGGAUUAUUGUUCCCAAUCCUUCUUGUUCUCCUGGCUCUACAAUUAUACACCUGUGCCUUUUGGCAUGAAGUUUUGCAUUACCUUCCACUAUUGAUGUUCAACUUGGCCAUAUGACUUGUUUGGCCAAUGGAAUGUUGGUGAAUAUGAUGAGAGGAGAGGUGUUAAAUGUAUUUGAAUGAUUUGGCUUGACCUCUUGCCAGAAGGAGACAUGUGGUGAAGACUUGAAUCUGACCUGCAUCCUGGAGCCAAGUCCAGCUGAAUUCAGCUGAACCCAACCAAGUCUUAAGGAGCCCAGAUGAGAUGAGCUGAAUCUCAGUUCAUAUACAGACCCAUAAGGGAGAAAAAUAAAUGACUACCAUAAGCCACUGAUAAGUUGGGAUUAUCUGUUACAUAAUAUUAUUAUUGCAGCAAGCAAUAGCUGACUAACUCAACAUGAUUUCCUCAUGGAUUUGUGGUGUUACCAUGAUCACAUAUCAGAUUCUCUUAUGUAAAUGGGUUGUUUCUGAGUUCUCUAUUCUGUUUCAUGGUUCUGUAUGUCUGCUACUAUAAAAAAUGACCGACUUAUAAAGAAAUUUAGUCUUCCAUGUGCAUUUUAGAAUACGUUUAAAUUCCCCAAAUCUUGCUACAAGUUUGGUUUGCAUUGAAUUUAUAAACACAUUUAGAGAUAAUUGAGAUCUUAAUAACGUUACAUCAUCUUAUCCAUAAACAUUAUAUAUACCUCUAUUUGGGUUUCCUUUGAAUUCCUUCAAUAAAUUCAAAUAUGUUAAUUCCUGGAUACUUUAUAGUUUUGUUGCUUUUAUAAAUAGUAUCUUAUUUUCUAGUUUGUUAGUGUAAGUGUGAAUGAAUACUUUCAG